rnacentral:lncRNA from 1 species
CUCUCGCACUAGCGCCCCGCACCUGUGGCGCCCCUGCUCCGCCCAGUCCCGCGGCCUCCUCGCCCCUAGUCCCCGGCGCUCCCCGCCCCUUCCCGUGGGAUCCGCCCCUCCGCCAGCCCCGCUGGCUUCCCCUCUCCGCCACCCCGGACUCAGAACCUCCCCUCCCCCGCCGGGGCCUGGGCGCGCCUGCCCUUCGCUCCCCGACCUCCUGCUGCAGCUCUGGGCCCCUCGGCCGCUCCCUCCCCUCCUCCCUUGCUCACCCCACGGUUGGCCGCGGAUCUCCAGCACGCCGCCCCAGUCCUCGGCGUCCCGCAGCGCCUGCCAGGGUCGCCGAGCCUCCCCUGCCUCCUGGCCGCCUCUGCAGUGCCGUCCUCCCGGGGCUGGCUCUCUCCCCAGGCCCCCGCUUUGGCCACCCAGGCACUUUCCGCCCUGAGCGUGGCAGCUGCUGCCGGGGGUCCUGGGACCGCGGGAUGGGAACUCCCACGCAGCGUCCCACAGGCUCCUGGCCGCCGCGAGCCCGCGCGACUCGCACGAGCAUGUCCACCCGCAGCGAGGGGCCGGUCACUGCUACGGAGCCCGCCAGAAGGCAAAGCCCCAGACAGCAAAUAGGGAGGCGGCUGGCACCCAGGGAGGCCGAGGCGGGAGGAUCGCUGGAGCCCAGGAGUUCGAGACCUGCCUUGGCAACAUACUCCCUCCAGCGUGCCAAAUGCUGCUAAUGGACAGCCGCUCCUGCCGCUCUGAUGUUGCUAGACCUCCUCAGCACUCAGCCCAAGGCAGCCAGGAAGAAUGAACGAAUGGUGAUUCAGAGGGAAAGGAGGAAGCUGCGUGGCAUUUCAGAGAUACUUAUUUUAAAACUGCUGGUGGCCAUGUCUUCUUUUCAUAUCAGAGCUAAUGAGUUUUGAUAUGUGAACAUUUCUUCUCCUUCAUAGAAAACUCUGCUUCACAAACACAGGAUAUUGGAAAUGGAAGUGGGCUUUUCAGUGCUUUGGGAACAAUCACAGGAGAUUCUGCCUUGGCUGUAAUCCAGAACGUAUGGAGAUUUGAAGUUGUCGCAAACAUACUUUGAAGGCCACCAGAUGCAGCUGUACAAUUGAAGUCCAUCAGCUCACUUGCCUCAAUAAAGCCUGCCACUGCAUGCAGCUUGUCACUUGCCACUCACAGAUAGGGUUUUGAUAUGACUCUGCAAGCAAUUGAUUUAUGAUGGUCUCUGUGCUGUCAAACCUCUCUGCUAAUGUUCAUCUGUAUUUGCAGCCACUCCCAAGUGCUAGCAUCGCCGCCUCAGCUCCACUUCAGGUCAUCAGGCAUUAGUUAGAUUCUCAUAAGGAGUGUGCAACCCAGAUUCCUCACAUGCGCAGUUCACAAUAGAGUGCGCUGCUAUGAGAACUAAUGCCACUGCUGAUCUGACAGGAGGCAGAGCUCAGGCGGUCAUGCUCACCCACCCACCUGCUGCUCCCCUCCUGCUGUGCGGCCCAGUUACUAACAGUCCAUGGACAGGUACUGGUCCGUGGCCCAGGGACUGGGGGCCCCUUCUGUCACCCAACCAAACUGGGUCCACUUGCCCUCAAGGAACGGAAGCCAAACACCGAAGCACCAAGUUUUUGCAAUAGGAAGGCUUUAUUGCCAGUUGAGUGACAUGGAGACCGGAGGAAAUGUUCCUAUCUGUCUUCCCACUGGCCUUGCCACCAUAGAUGUAAGAGACAGAUUUUGAGGGUGGGGUUUCGGGGCGGGACGAAGAUUGGCUGGAAGGAAGGGGCUUUGUUGAGUCCCUCGGUCACUCACUGUCGCCCUACCUGCUGCUUCAUGGGUUGCAUGUUUAAAAACAAUGUUGGCAUUAGCAUGACCUGGAAGUGGGGUUUUGGGCCCUCUGACAUCAAAAGGUGGCUCGUGGGUGAGUCAGUGCACUCUGCAGACUCUAGUCAGCCAUGUUGGCUCCAACUGGUCCCUCCUGGCAGCCCACUUAGUUGCAAAUAGAGGGGAUUGUAGCAAAUUGUCGUCUUCUCCACUGUCCUGCAAAAUGAGCUCAAGAAAUUUUGCUGGUUAACAAAUCCUGUCUAAUCCUAGGGCAGGUUUCAGUACCAUCCUGUUAGGGAUUGGGGCUUCAACAUAUGAAUUUGGGGGGUACACUUCAGCCCAUGGCAAGCUGGAUACUUGUGCUCCCUUCAUCAAGAUGAGAAUGUGAACACACAGAGGCAAAGCGGCCCAUACGAGGUCACAGUGAGAGAGGGUGCCGUGGAGUCAGAACGCACAGCAGGGACCCAGCCCCUAGGUUCCGUCUCUGAGCCCCAGGUCCCAUGCUGAGCUGCAGGAGUCACUGUGUGCCUCUGCUUUGUGCUUUGUGACCACACGUCAUGGCCAGGCUGGGGUUUUCCACCCUUUGUGCGUUAUUCCCAUCUUAGUUUGAGGUCAGAGGCCUGCAGGACUUAUUUCCUGGUCCCCACGGGAUGAAGGAGGAAACCCGUGGGAACUAGCACAUGGCCCUAAAAGCAACCUCUCCUUGCCCUCAUUGUCCAUUAGCACAAGACACUCCCAUCAGCACCAUGACAGUUUACAAAUGCUGUGGAAGUUGCUGCCUUUUCCUUAGAGAUUUCCAAAUAACCUGCCCCUAAUGUGCAUGUCAUUAGAAGUCAGUAUAAGUGGCUGUGAGUGCAGCUGCCUCAGCCCAUAUGCUGCUGACUCCGGGUGCACUGCUGAGGAGUCAGCCCUGGCCCAGUUCAGGAAAAGUGGCUGCAUAAUGCCACCAGCUGGCCCUUGCAUUCUUUCCUGGGUGAAGCCAAGAACCCUCAGGGGCUAAGCCCCACUGUGAGAGCUCACCUGCCACCUGCAUCCAGUGAAUAGGGCGCCAUUUCCAGGUUUCCCCCCAGUGCUGCAGCAAACAUCCCUGUAGGCCGCAACUCACACGCUUGCUUGCAUUUUUUUUUUUUUCUGUGAGAUAAAUCUUCAGCAGCAGGAUUGCUGAGCUGGGUCUAAAGGCUUUCAAAGUUUUAUUUUCAAUUUUUUUUUUCUCAAUUGUCUGUAAGAGGGCAGAACCACUUUACUCUCUUCCAGUGGCAGAUGAGAAUGUGCUUCUUAACACCUGCCCAGCCCCAGGGAUUAUCCCUCAUUUUAGUCUUGGCCAAUCUGAGACAAUCCAUGAAGGGAACUGAUGACUCGCUGUCUUCCAGACAUUUCUUCGGUGGUGGUGAAGUUGAGUAUGUCUUUAUGCUUAUUGGCCAUUGUUCUUCCAGGAACUGUCAGUUACUGAGCUCUGACCUUAGAUUUGUCAUCUUCUAAAAACUGAUCUGCAAGAGCUCUUUGUAUCUUAAGAGAACUACUUUUACUAUUAAUGCGUGACAAAAUAUUCUCCCCAUUGACUUGAUGUGCUAUCCAUAAGUAUAGUCAUGAACCACAUAACCACAUUUUGGUCAACAACAGAUCGUAUAUAACAGUGGUCCCAUAAAAUUAUAAUAUCACAUUUUUACUGUACCUUUUCUAUGUUUACAUGCACAAAUACUCAUGGCUGUGUUACAGCUGCCUACUGUAUCCAGCACAGUGCCAUGCUGUACACGUAUGUAGCCUAGGAGCUGCAGGCUACACCAUAUAGCCUAGGUGUGUCGGAGGCUGGACCAUCUAGGCUUGUGUAAGUGCCCUCUGUGAUGUUCUCAUAACAAUGAAAUCAUCUAACAACGCAUUUCUUCGACUGUGUCCCUGUUGUUAAGUGAAACAUGACUAUUGCUUUUUGUUUAAAGUCAGUAAAGAGGCACAGUUUACACUUUACUUACCCAUAUAUAUGUAUGGGUGUAUAUAUGUAUGUAUUUUUUGCGACAGGGUCUUGCUCUGUCACCCAGGCUGGAGUACAGUGGCAUGAUCUUGGGUCACUCCAGCAUCCACCUCCCUGGCUCAAGCGAUCCUUCCACCUCAGCCUCCUGAGUGGAUGGAACCACAGGCGUGCACUGCCGUGCCUACUUUUUAAAAAAUUUUUUGUAGAGACAGGGUCUUGCCAUGUUGCCCAGGCUGGUCUCCAACUUCUAGACUCAAGCAAUCUGCUCACCUCAGCUUACCAAUGUGCUGAGAUUACAGGCAUGAGCCACUGCACCUGGCCUAUGUGUAUUUAUUUUUAUUGUCAUAUUUAUCUGUUUUUUUUUCAUGACUUGUGAUUUUGUGGCAUGUUUAGAAAGGCUUUUCUUGUUUCAGGAUUAUAAAAAUAGUCACCUAUACUCUCCUCUAGCAUUUUUAUUAUUUCACUUUUCAGAUUUAAAUUUUUGUUUCAUCCAGAAUUAAUUUUGGUCAAAGAGUUCAAUAGGGCUACAAUUUAUUUUUCCCUGAAGAGGCGGGACAGCUGUCCCAAUAUAAUUCACUAAAGAGCCCAUCUUUCCUCUGCCAAUCUGCAAUGCCAACUUUACUACAAUGUCUGCAACUUAAUCUCAAAUGGUAGAGCAACAAACAUAUUUAGAGUGUGUGUGUGUUGAAAUUAAAUCAAAUGUGGAGAAAUGUUAGCAUAGCAAUUAUUGAAUCAAGAUAGUACAUUUGGCCUUCAUUACCCACGGGUUCUGUAUCUAUCUGCCCAUUCAACCAACUGCAGAUUGAAAAUACUCUGGAAAAAAAUUUUUUAAAUACAAUAAUAAAAAAUAAUGCAAAUAAAAACCAAUAUAACAACUAUUUCAUAGCAUUUACAUGGUAUUAGAUAUUACAAGAAAACUAGAAAUGAUUUAAAGUAUAUAGGAUGGUGCGUGGAGGUUACAUGCAAAUACUGUACCAUUUUAUCAAGGAUUUGAGUCUUUUCAGAUUUUGUUAUCUUUGGGGGUCCCGGAGCCAAUCCCCUACAAAUACUGCGGGACGAUUGUAUGUAGAAGAUCAUUACACCAUCCAGUUUCCAGUUUUGUUUUCACAGUAAAAUUGUGUUUAGGCCAGGCGCGGUGGCUGACGCCUGUAAUCCCAGCACUCUGGGAGGCCGAAUCACCUGAGGUCAGGAGUUCGACAACAGCCUGGCCAACAUGGUGAAACUCCGUCUCUACUAAAAAUACAAAAAAAAAAAAAAAAUUAGCCGGAUGUGGUGGCACAUGCCUGUAGUCCCAGCUACUUGGGAGGCUGAGACAAGAGAAUCACUUGAAUCCGGGAGGCGGGG